rnacentral:rRNA from 1 species
CACAGGGAGGUAGUGACAAAAAAUAACAAUGCAGGGCCUUUCGGUCACUGCAAUUGGAAUGAGUACAAUUUAAACCACUUAACGAGUAUCCAUUGGAGGGCAAGUCUGGUGCCAGCAGCCGCGGUAAUUCCAGCUCCAAUAGCGUAUAUUAAAGUUGUUGCAGUUAAAAAGCUCGUAGUUGAAUUUCGGAGGAGAGUUCCUGGUCUAGGUUCGUCCUAGUACUGGGACACUUGAAUCUUUUUUCUGGGAAGCAAGAUGUCCUUCACUGGACGUCUUGGGGAACCAGGACGAUUACCUUGAGAAAAAUAGAGUGUCAAAGCAGGCUUUUGCUUGAAUACGUUAGCAUGGAAUAAUAAAAUAGGACUUUGGUUCUAUUUUGUUGGUUUUAAGGACCAAUGUCAUGAUGAAUAGGGACAGUUGGGGGCAUUCGUAUUCCGAAGCUAGAGGUGAAAUUCUUGGAUUUUCGGAAGACGAACUACUGCGAAAGCAUUUGCCAAGGAUGUUUUCAUUAAUCAAGAACGAAAGUUAGGGGAUCGAAGACGAUUAGAUACCGUCGUAGUCUUAACCAUAAACGAUGCCGACUAGGGAUCAGUGAACGUCGAAUGUGACUUCAUUGGCACCUUACGAGAAAUCAAGAGUUUUUGGGUUCUGGGGGGAGUAUAGUCGCAAGGCCGAAACUUAAAGGAAUUGACGGAAGGGCACCACCAGGAGUGGAGCCUGCGGCUUAAUUUGACUCAACACGGGAAAACUCACCAGGUCCAGACAUAGUAAGGAUUGACAGAUUGAGAGCUCUUUCAUGAUUCUAUGGGUGGUGGUGCAUGACCGUUCUUAGUUGGUGGAGUGAUUUGUCUGGUUAAUUCCGAUAACGAACGAGACCUUAACCUGCUAACUAGUUUACGAAACGCAAGUUUUGGCAAACUUCUUAGAGGGACUAUCUGUGACUAACAGAUGGAAGUUUGAGGCAAUAACAGGUCUGUGAUGCCCUUAGAUGUUCUGGCCGCACGCGCGCUACACUGAUAAAGUCAGCGAGUAUUCACCUUAACCGGAAGGUUUGGGUAAUCUUUUGAAACUUUAUCGUGAUGGGGAUUGAGCAUUGCAAUUAUUGCUCAUGAACGAGGAAUUCCUAGUAAGCGCGAGUCAUCAGCUCGCGUUGAUUACGUCCCUGCCCUUUGUACACACCGCCCGUCGAUACUACCGAUU